rnacentral:rRNA from 1 species
AGCAGUAGCCGCGGUAAUACGAAGGGUGCAAGCGUUACUCGGAAUUACUGGGCGUAAAGCGUGCGUAGGUGGUGGUUUAAGUCCGUUGUGAAAGCCCUGGGCUCAACCUGGGAAUUGCAGUGGAUACUGGGUCACUAGAGUGUGGUAGAGGAUAGUGGAAUUUCCGGUGUAGCAGUGAAAUGCGUAGAUAUCGGAAGGAACACCUGUGGCGAAAGCGGCUCACUGGACCAUAACUGACGCUGAUGCACGAAAGCUAGGGGAGCAAACAGGAUUAGAUACCCGAGUAGUCCCUGUCUCUUAUAC